rnacentral:rRNA from 1 species
UACGGAGGGUGCAAACGUUGCUCGGAAUCAUUGGGCGUAAAGCGCACGUAGGCGGCCGCGUAAGUCGAGUGUGAAAGCCCGGGGCUCAACCCCGGAAGUGCGCUCGAAACUGCGUGGCUUGAGUACGGGAGAGGGUGGCGGAAUUCCCGGUGUAGAGGUGAAAUUCGUAGAUAUCGGGAGGAACACCAGUGGCGAAGGCGGCCACCUGGAUCGAUACUGACGCUGAGGUGCGAAAGCGUGGGUAGCAAACAGG